rnacentral:lncRNA from 1 species
AAUAAUGGCAAAUGUAACCCGCCAAACCACCCCAAAUAAUUGAAAACAUAACCCGCCCCAAUUAAUCUUCCAUUCAUUCCGAUGGUUGACGAAGCUAUGUGUGAGACUGUCUGAUUUGCCAGCCCAUCCCAUAUUUCGUCGCCGCCACCCCAAAUAAUCUUCCAUCAUAAACAAAUGGCGGGUUUCAUUCCAGACCAAAAUAAUUGAAAGUUUGAAAGAGGUUUUUAGUGAUCGACGAAACUGAAGGUGAAACUGUCUGCGCCGGAUGCCCAUCCCACAUUUAGUUGCUGUUGGCCACCCAACCCUGAGGUGAUAUUCCACGGGAAUCGGAUGUAAUAGAUUUGAAGAGAUGACAGACAAAGGUGUGGUUUUGUUCCAUCCCAUAUUUCCCUUUCUUACUGUUAAUGUGAGAAUGGAUGUGAAUUUACUGGCUGUGUACUAUGUGGGGGAGAUAGUGUAGGUGCGUUUUAUAAAUGCAAAUUUUCAUCAAUAGGUUAAUGGAAAAUUGGUGGGGUUUUGUUGGAGAUGUAUUUGCCCUGAUUAAAAAAAUUAGUUAUGUGAAUUAGUUUUAACAUUCUUUAAUUGGUUAUUUAUUGCAAUGAAUAAAAGUUCGAAAGAUGUGGAUGGACAUAUUUCGCUAGAAUUCGAUAAUGAGGAUAUUUUGGACAGUGUCAACUUGGUAAUGGAUGGAAUAGUAGGAGUAGAUGGAGUGGGCGAUAGGAUUAUAGGAGUAGAUGGUGCAACCAUGCUCGAUGUGGGUAUGGAGUUCAACGAUGAAAAAGAAAUAUUUCAUUUUUACAAAAGAUAUGCGUAUGACGUAGGGUUUCCAAUUAGAAAAAGAAAUUCGCAAAAGGAUGAUGAUGGAGUUGUCAAAUAUGUUGUGUUCACAUGUAGCUGCGAAGGACGAAGAAGCAGAAAUACAAGUGGUUCUUUGAAGCCACACGUUACCAUUCAGACAAGUUGUAAAGCCAGAAUUAUUGCUUCUGUAGAUGCAUAUGGAAUAUGGAGAAUUAACACAGUCAAUCUCAUUCGCAAUUACAGAACAAGUCCUUCGAAGUCAAGGUUGUAUCGUUGCAACUGAGUGUUGAGUGCCCAUGUCAAAUGAUGGCUUGAAAUGAACGAUAUGGUAGGGAUUCCUCACAAUGCUGCAGUCGUAGAAGUGGAUGGGUACGAAAACAUUACUUGAAUAGAAAAGGAUUGUUGAAACUAUGUUGAACAAGUUAAGGCAGUUAAGACUUAGAGACGGAGAUACCGCAGCAAUACAAGCCUGCUUUUCGAACAUGCAAGCAAGAUGUUCGGGUUUUUACUUUAGUAUGGAUUUAGAUGAGGAGUCGCGGGUUGAGGAAUAUUUUUUGAACUGAUAAUAGGAGUAGGCAAGCAUAUAAAGAGUUCGAUAAUGUUGUAACAUUUGAUACCAUGUACCUAGCUAACAAGUAUGACAUGUCAUUCGCGUCUUUUUGUUGGGGUUAAUUAUCACGGACAAUCAAUGCUACUCAGUUGUGGUUCGUUGUCGAACGAAAGUUCAGAAACAUUUGUGUGGCUUUUCAAGACUUGACUUCAGUGCAUGCAUGACCAAGCUCCCAAGGGAAUUAUUACCGAUCAAGAUAAGGUCGUGCAAAAUGCAAUUUAAAUCGUUUGUCCAAACACCAGGCAUAGGUGGUGUCUUGUUCUUCCACUUCCUAGCAAAGAGAUUGGAACGUGUGAGUUAUUUGUUGAACUUCUUCAAGUGCUGUUGAGUUAUUCGAGUUAAUGGUAACAGUACUAGACUCGCCGCUUGAUUAUCCUAGUUCGACCCAUUCCCAGUAUCUACAGUGAGCACUGUAGCAAUUGUACAACUUUUCCUUGUUCUUCGUCUCCCUUUCAACCUCAAGGCACUUGACAAAGCCAUGUCUACAGAGGGGCAUCGUCGUUUGUUAGGGCAAUCAAUAAAGAAGUGCCUCUUUUCUCUACAGCUAUGGCAGAUUCCGAAAUUUUUCCUGUCAUUCUAACACAUGAACAACUAAAUUUUAAAAAAUAAUGAAAUGCACACAAACUCCAUUACUUUUCUUUUUCCAAUUUGGUUUUAAGAAAUAAUGAAACACACACACACACGCGCACACACAUUGACAAUUUGGGUUUUACCGUCGUUAAUCGAGAACAAUAAAAUACAAGGUUUUCUUCAUACCAACUAUAGGCAACUGCGUCGGAGAUGGACACUCUUCCUAAAUACGGUGGAGAUUUUACCUUGCGGAUUCAACAUAUGAAAGAAGCAAACGAUCAACUGAAGGUGGGAACCUCAAGCAUAUAGAUGAUUGAUAUAUUGGGCACUGGCAUUUUCAUCUCGUCAUGUGGGAGAAUCUGAAGUUUAGUGUGUUUCUGUCGCCGUCGAAGUUUCUCUGAUUUGGGGUUUUUUUCAUGUAAGGGAAUAGGGUGAAAGUGACGUGGAUUUUUGCGUUUUGGGGGUUAUGUUGGGCUGGGUCAAAAAUUUCCCACCAUUUUUUAUUUCUUGAAUUUUUACGCUCCACUUGCCACGUCAUCGAGUCAACAAGCGGGUAAAGGCAAGUGUACACAUAGCACGAUUGAAAUAAUAAAUACUUUUUGGAAGUAGUCAAAGUAAGUGACAAAAUCAAGCGCCUCUUAGAGCACUUAAAAUUCUUUGAUCUCUAAAUUUAUAGAAGCUCGUUAUAUUGUUAAAUAUGCUCUUUAAAAAUAGAGAAUUUAUUGUAUAUACUCUUAAAAAAUCAUAAUUUGACUCUAUCGUUCUUUUUUCCUUUUAAACAUUUGUUCAACUAAUCUAUUUCUUUUAAUACUUGAGAUAGGUACAUGAUUGAGCUCAUCAAGUCACCAGAUUUUGCCGCUUAUAAUUUUAGAGUUACUACAAGACAUUUAAGUCAACUCCAAUACCCAAACUCUUAUGGCUGUGUUUGAUUGGAAAAUUUUGCAUAAAAUUAGCUUUUUUCACCUAAUUUCCAACUUUUGGAAUAUUUGAUUUUCAAAUUUUUUUAUGAAAUUUUUUUCCUAUCUUUGAAAAUAUACGUUUUUUUUUCCUUUUCUAAGAAAAACAUUUUCUUUUCUAGAGAUAUUUUCCAUGUUAAUCAAGCACACACUUACUUAUUAUUGAUCUAGUAAUCUUUUUAUAAAUAUUGUUACGUUUUUUCCUAUGGCAGGUACAUAGUUGCCCGUUAAGUAAAAUGUUAUGCAAACACCCUCUUUUUGAGACUAAUAAAUCAAAGCAUGUCGCAUCUAUCGUCUUUACUCCGAGCCUAUGAAAUUACUUUUCAUCGCCUUGUUAACUAUGACUUUUCGAGGCAUUGAGAGCAUAGUCCAGCAACAUAAUUCAUUGCGGGCACGUCACCUCUUGGCUCCGUAGCGAUUGAAGAAGAUCCAACCUUUAGCCGCAUCAGAUGGGUCUCCAAUAUCAAAGGCGAUUGUGUUCAAUGUCGUAGCACCUCAUGCAAGUUGCAUUUUGACAGUAUAGAACCACGUGACAUUGAUUGAUUUGACUCUUUUAAAUGUAGCCGGGAGUCAAAUUCCUUAUUUUUCGCCUAAGACAGUGUGUGAAGGUCACAUGCCUAUAAUGCCUAUGAUACGACGUUGUGACAUCGUCAAGUUUAAGUAGAGGGUCAUUGGGAUGAGGUCAUGUGUCAAUCAUUUGAGGAGCCUCAGUUCAUUCUCUUUGCCUAUAAAUACUUAACUUUAUGAAAUUGUGAAGGUAAUUACCAAUUGGUAGUUCU